rnacentral:lncRNA from 1 species
CCUUGAGAUUAAGCGAAAUAACUUUGGAAAUUAUUUUAUUUUUUGGAAAUUUAAGCGAAAUAAAUUUGGAAAUUAUUUUAUUUUUUGGAAAUUUUAAGCGAAAUAAAUUGUGGCUUUAGCCCUGGUAGCACUUAGAGUCGAAACCGUGGAUGGCCGGCGGGUAGGCGGCGGCGGGCGCCGCGGCGGUGACGAUCGAUCGAGAGAGUUGAGUUUCUUUUUAUUUUCUGAACUGGAAAUACGAGAGACUGAACCAAUCAGAGGCGAGCUAGCGCCUAGCUCUGUGUUGGUGUUUCUUUUGUGGAAGCUGCAACGAUCGAUCUGAGAGAUCCCACGAGAUCUGUUGGAGCAGGCCUGGUUGGGUGUUGGGCUUCAUGUUAGGAGAAAUUCUAAUUGGGCCUCCAGCAGUG